rnacentral:rRNA from 1 species
UACAGAGGGUGCGAGCGUUGAUCGGAGUUACUGGGCGUAAAGGGCGCGUAGGCGGUGAAAAGGGUGUGGUGUGAAAGCCCCGGGCUUAACCUGGGAAGUGCAUCGCAAACUAUUUGACUGGAGUAUAAGAGAGGGUGGCGGAAUUUCCGGUGUAGCGGUGAAAUGCGUAGAGAUCGGAAGGAACGUCAAUGGCGAAGGCAGCCACCUGGCUUAAUACUGACGCUGAGGCGCGAAAGCGUGGGUAGCAAACAGG